rnacentral:rRNA from 1 species
CAAGAUUAAAACUCAAAGAAAUUGACGGGGACCCGCACAAGCGGUGGAGUAUGUGGCUUAAUUCGAUGCAACGCGAAGAACCUUACCUGGGCUUGACAUGCAUCGCUAAUCGCGUGAAAGCGCGUGAGUGGAGCAAUCCACACUUUGCACAGGUGCUGCAUGGCUGUCGUCAGCUCGUGUCGUGAGACGUUGGGUUAAGUCCCGCAACGAGCGCAACCCCUGCAUUUAGUUGCCAGCGGAUCAUGCCGGGGACUCUAAAUGGACUGCCUAGAUCAACUAGGAGGAAGGUGGGGACGACGUCAAGUCAGUAUGGCCCUUACGCCCAGGGCUGCACACGUACUACAAUGGCCAGUACAGAGUGAACCGAUCCCGCGAGGGGGAGGAAAUCCCAAAAACUGGCCUCAAUUCGGAUUGGAGGCUGCAACUCGCCUCCAUGAAGCCGGAAUCGCUAGUAAUGGCGCAUCAGCUACGGUGCCGUGAAUACGUUCCCGGGUCUUGUACACACCGCCCGUCACAUCAUGGGAGCCGUAGCACC